CUCGCCGAUCCGCUCCACCGACACACCGCCAGGACUCCAUCCCCUGCCUCGCCGAUCUGCAACGCCGACGAGCCGUGGACUCCUGCAUCGACGCACUGCCACCGCCUCCACCUCGAGCGUCAACGCCACCAAGAGAAUCAUUCCUGUGCAGCCGGCGACCCCAAUAGCUCCUCUCGCCACCACCAGCACGUCUUCUCCCUUUGUCCAGCUCAGAUACUUUCAGCAAACGGGAAGCUUACUCCAUUAUAAGGAAUCACACCGAUGGUGAAGGUAGCGUGUACUUUUUAGAACUGUCAGAGAUGCAAAUCUGGCUAAAUAGUCAUCCAUGUGAAAUGCCUUAAUGAAUUCUGUAUUUAUAUAGAUGAGAUAGCUCAUUUAGAGAGUACAUACAUGACGUGGGUUCUUCGAUCCAUUCAACUCUGUAGUGUGCAUCCAUUUAUAGAUAUUUCUCCCUUGCAUAUGCACUUUUCAUUGGCUCCCAACCAUAUAACAUUGCGGGGUCCUAAAAUCUGUAUUACUACCUACAAAAAUUCAGUGUGAUGAACAAUUUGUUUUU
rnacentral:lncRNA from 1 species